rnacentral:rRNA from 1 species
CCUACGGGAGGCAGCAGUGAGGAAUAUUGGUCAAUGGUCGGGAGACUGAACCAGCCAAGCCGCGUGAGGGAUGAAGGUACAGAGUAUCGUAAACCUCUUUUGUCAGGGAACAAAGGCGGGGACGUGUCCCCGGAUGAGUGUACCUGACGAAAAAACAUCGGCUAACUCCGUUCCAGCAGCCGCGGUAAUACGGAGGAUGCGAGCGUUAUCCGGAUUUAUUGGGUUUAAAGGGUGCGUAGGCGGAUUUUUAAGUCAGCGGUAAAAGGCCGGGGCUCAACCCCGGCCCGCCGUUGAAACUGGCAGUCUCGAGUGGGAGAGAAGUAUGCGGAAUGCGCGGUGUAGCGGUGAAAUGCAUAGAUAUCGCGCAGAACUCCGAUUGCGAAGGCAGCAUGCCGGCUCCACACUGACGCUGAGGCACGAAAGCGUGGGUAUCGAACAGGAUUAGAUACCCGAGUAGUC